rnacentral:rRNA from 1 species
UACGUAGGGUGCAAGCGUUGUCCGGAAUUAUUGGGCGUAAAGAGCUCGUAGGCGGUUCGUCGCGUCGGCUGUGAAAACCCGAGGCUCAACCUCGGGCCUGCAGUCGAUACGGGCAAACUAGAGUACUGCAGGGGAGACUGGAAUUCCUGGUGUAGCGGUGAAAUGCGCAGAUAUCAGGAAGAACACCAGUGGCGAAGGCGGCUCACUGGAUCGGUACUGACGCUGAGGUGCGAAAGCGUGGGGAGCAAACAGG